GCGGGUAUAGUUUAGUAGGACAGAAUACAAUCUUGCCAAGAUUGAGACACGAGUUCAAGCCUCGUUUCCCGCU
rnacentral:tRNA from 1 species